rnacentral:rRNA from 1 species
CUACGUAGGGGGCGAGCGUUGUCCGGAAUUACUGGGCGUAAAGGGUGCGUAGGCGGCGCGACAAGUCAGAUGUGAAAUACCUGUGCUUAACAUGGGACCUGCAUUUGAAACUGUUGUGCUUGAGUAUGGAAGAGGCAAGCGGAAUUCCCGGUGUAGCGGUGAAAUGCGUAGAGAUCGGGAGGAACACCAGUGGCGAAGGCGGCUUGCUGGGCCAUAACUGACGCUGAAGCACGAAAGCGUGGGUAGCAAACAGGAUUAGAUACCCUGGUAGUCCACGCUGUAAACGAUGAAUACUAAGUGUAGGGGGUAACACCCCCCCUGUGCCGUAGCAAACGCAAUAAGUAUUCCGCCUGGGGAGUACGAUCGCAAGAUUGAA